GGACAAUAGUUCAGUGGUGGAAUUUCUUGCCUUGCAAGCAGAAGGUCCCAGGUUCAAUUUCUGUCAUCUCCA